UAAUCUGUAGGCUAUAAGACAGUGGGCAUUAUACCAUAUCAAGUAUCACAAACUGAGUUAAAAAAAAUGUAUUCCUUGUUGAAGAGUAACAAGCUGAUCAAGUCAUGGCUAUGUCUCACUUCCAACCUCUGUUAUUUCUCGUCGUCAUACUCUUCUUCCCACCUUUUUAUGCUCUCAAUUUUGAAUUCUGCAACCCAAACCAGAGUUCCAAUUACAUAGAGGUCACUCAUCUGAAGACCCAUUCCGACCAACCCCACGCUGUUACCGUAUCAGGUUUAGCAAAAUAUACUAUGUGGGGAUCGAUAGAGGUGGGUGUUCAAGUUGGGAAGUGUUGGGAUUGUGUGAGCCCAUGUCCAACUCUAUUUAUCAUAUUAGUACGAUAUUGUCCACUUUGGGUCUUAAUAGGCAAGUCCGCAUGGAUUUACUUUUUGGUUUCCUUCCCAAAAGGCCUCGUACUAAUUAGAGAUGGACUUCUCUUUAUAUAUUAGAUUUUCCUUUGUCUAAUAUCUGAUGUGGGACUUUGUUUGAUAUCUCACAUUCUCCCCCCUCAAACUAAGAACCACAACUCAUCUCUUGUGUGUUUCCUAAUCACAGGGCUUUCAUUUGAGAAUGCUUCUCCCACAACAUCACAUAUCUCCUUUUUCUUUCUUCAAGGAUUCCUCAUUCUUUCGAGGGGUAUUUUAGUCUUUCUUGCAGAUCUUCGUCAAACCGCUCUGAUACCAAUUGUUGGGAUUGUUAAAUCCCGUGUCCAACUUUAUAUUAUCCGAUUAGUACGAUAUUGUCCACUUUGAGCCUUAAUAAUAAGCCCGCAAGGAUUUACUUUCGGUUUCCUUCCCAAAAGGCCUCGUACUAAUUAGAGUUGGACUUCUCUUUAUAUAUUAGAUUUUCCUUUGUCUAAUAUCCGAUGUGGGACUUUGUUUGAUAUCUCACAGGAAGGUAGUGUACUAUCAUGCAAACCUCUGCUCUUGUUUGCAUCUUACUGGUGGCAACCACUUUGUGAUACCUGUUACGGGACUUCCUUAUGAGUUUACUGAGGUUGAGUCCAAGUAUGUGUAUUUAAUUAAGUUUUGGGGAAGCAGCGAUGAAAUCAUGUGUAUUAAGUUCAAGAUGCCUACUUCGGCUACCACAUUGAAUGGGACAACAAGUGUUCAAAACCUUGAACUGGCAGAGGAAGCUGAACACAAAGAACCAGCUAUCGUUUGAAAAAGUCUCGUUGUUUAUUUUGUUUUCAUUCAGCAAAUAAUUGAGUCAUACUCCGUUGCCUCUAGUGAAGGAGUAGAGUAACUCACUUUCUUUUUCAACUUUGUUGCUUCCACGUUUCAAGGGGUUCAGGUUCCUACAUUUGCUUCUUCUGCUAUUCCCUACUGUUAAAAUAAAUGAAGACAAUAAAAGUCGGGGAAUUUUCAAAAAUACCACUUUCAAGAACUGUUUGUCUGGCUCGCAAGAGGAAGCUGUACAAGAUAUGAAGAAGUGAUGAUUGACACUGCACCAUUGGUUUCGAUCGACACCGAUUCGAGAAUACGGGCCGACUUGAUACUUAUUUUUUAAUUUUCUAAACCAUUGUUGACGGAUACACUUUCUUUAUUUUUAAUUUUAGGGUUGAAAAUAAGAGAGGAAAUCCUUUAGAGUUCUCUUGGAACUUCAUUGGUUUGUUUUUGUUUAUUCUAUUAUCUAGUCAGACUAUGUUUUGUGUUUCA